rnacentral:rRNA from 1 species
UGGCGGCAAGCCUUACACAUGCAAGUCGAGCGGUAACAUUUCUAGCUUGCUAGAAGAUGACGAGCGGCGGACGGGUGAGUAAAGCAUAGGAAUCUGGCCAAUAGAGGGGGAUAGCCCGGAGAAAUCCGGAUUAAUACCGCAUACACUCUAUGGAGAAAAAGCAGGGGGAUCUUCGGACCUUGCGCUAUUGGAUGAGCCUAUGUCGGAUUAGUUAGUUGGUGGGGUAAAGGCCUACCAAGGCAGCGAUCCGUAGCUGGUCUCAGAGGAUGAUCAGCCACAUCGGGACUGAGACACGGCCCGAACUCCUACGGGAGGCAGCAGUGGGGAAUAUUGCACAAUGGGCGCAAGCCUGAUGCAGCUAUGCCGCGUGUGUGAAGAAGGCCUUAGGGUUGUAAAGCACUUUCAGUAGUGAGGAAAAGUGUUGUGUUAACAGCGCAAUGCUGUGACGUUAGCUACAGAAGAAGGACCGGCAAACUCCGUG